ACACGGUAGUUGCCUAAACCUAACAAAGUAGUUUUGUUGCCUAAACCUAACCAAGCUGCAAAUACUAACUGGAAACAUAUUAACUGAAAAUAAUUUAAAAGAAACCCUAAAACAAUCUAAUGUCUAAAAAUAAAUAAUAAAUUCUGACUUUUGGCUGUCUUAGGUCAAAGACUUUAUAUUUGACACCAGAACCUCCUAUAACCUAUGUGGCCUUUAUCACUCUUUAUACUAACAGUUUGUUGCUCGUUGAAACAGCAAAGUUAGUCUUGGUUUUACUUGUUGUAUGACUGCAGAUGCACUUCUAACUCUGAAACAAAAAUGUUUUGAACCGGCUCCCGGUAUAUCAGCCAUUGCAGAGUAGGGUUGGGCCGAUAGACGAUGCCGUUGUCCAUCGGCGAUGACUGACAGACAUCACAACGGCUUGACGUCAAAAGGAGUGGCCAAACGUGUGUAGCGAUUCACUGCCUGGCAAUUUGCAGGUUGCCCUGAGACGUUCAAGUACAAGGGCUACUUCUGUGCAAGCUAGUUAGCACAGGUCAUAGAUUUUCAUUGUAGCUGAUAGAGCGAGCAUGUUCCUGUUUUAAAAAAAUGCAAAGAGAGAGCAGCUUUUGCCAGCAAGAAUGACUUUGACAGUCUCAUGAACAAUGAGAGGAAGGAAGUAUGAUAACAGUACCUUCUACUUUACUACCACAUUUGUCCAGAAUUCUGGGUCUGUCGGAUCCAAAAAACACCUUUUGAGGAUUGCA